rnacentral:lncRNA from 1 species
CCACACUAGACCACAAACCCUAGCCGCCUGCCGCUCGCCGGAGAAGACGAACCAGAAGCCGGACGCCGCCACCCGCCGCCGCACCGGGGAAAUUUUCGACCGCCGAUCGAGGUAAAUUUCGUACCCCGACUCGUUUUUCCACGCUGAUUCCUCCAGUGGCCAAAUCGGAGCCAAAAUCCUGGCCAAACGGCCGGAAUACACGGCCGAAGCCCAGCGGCGCCGCCGCGCCCCUUCUCGAUUUUUGCCUCCGAUGAGGCCCUUCCCGGCCUCCGUUUGAUGCAAUUUUUAUAUCACCGUGAUCACCAUUCUUUUCUCUACAGGUUGACCGGAGCCGAAUCACCAAAACACGAACCUCGCCGGAGAGCCGCCGCACCCGAGAGCGCCGCUGCCGGUAAGCUCCGUUUUUCCGUGAUUUUUUGGCCCCCCGAGGGCCCUAGGAUUGUUUUCUCGCAGGGACCGAUGCGAGUGUGGCCGAAUUCGGCCAGAAACGGCCGAAAAUAGCUAACCUGAGGCGAAUCGCCGCCGCCAGCGGCGGUGCCGUCGCCGGAGCACGUGCAGGUACCAGUAGUGCGUUUCAGUUCCCCGAGAAAAAUUCAGGGAAAAUUAGGGACAGCUUGUAGGCGCACUGUGAAGCCGUGUUCGGACCCCGAAACGUGUAAGGACCCCUCACCUUAUUUCCUAUCACGGUUUUAAAGUUCAAUAAAUGAUAAAACGGUAUUUCAUGAAUCAACGAAUGUGUGAAAUUGCUUAAGGUCGCUAAUGGAGCACAAGUCUAGUGU